rnacentral:misc_RNA from 1 species
UAAGUAUCCCCAAAGUCAAGCGCGCGUAAAAAAGUUUUGCUUCAAAAAAAAGAUACAUAAAAAAAACUUUUAUUUUAUUAUAACGAUGAAUUUUUGUCUAAAAAAAUUUAAUAUUAAUGUACCUAUUGUUUUAUCACUAUAUAGAUAUUUGAACAUCACUAACUAUGGUUACAUAACAAGGCGAAAUGACUUAUCAUUAUUAUACAAACGCGUUCUAUUUGUUAAGGGACAUUUCAAUCUGAACUGUAAAGGUCAAAACAUCUUUAUUACAGGCUCAUAACAUUUUUGAAGAGGCAUCUACGUGCUUGAUUCAUUUUUUUUGUGUAAUUAGACAUGUUCUUAGUUUUAAUAUCGUAUUUUUGAUUGUAUUUCUAAAAUAUUUUCUAUACUAUGUCACUAACCAUAAGCAAAUUUUUUGCUCCGUGUUACUAACAAUUCUUGAUGAGUUUGAUUUCAGAUGGCGUUUUUGAUAGAUGUUGUGUUUAUAACAUGUUAUCUAUGUUUCACUAUUGAGAGCGAGAUAUGGUACGCGCGUAAUAUAAU